AGUCAUCAGCUCGCGUUGAUUACGUCCCUGCCCUUUGUACACACCGCCCGUCGCUACUACCGAUUGAAUGGCUCANUGAGGCCUUCGGACUGGCUCAGGGAGGUCGGCAACGACCACCCAGAGCCGGAAAGUUCGUCAAACUUGGUCAUUUAGAGGAAGUAAAAGUCGUAACAAGGUUUCCGUAGGNNAACCUGCGGAAGGAUCAUUA
rnacentral:rRNA from 1 species